GAGUUUGAUCAUGGCUCAGAUUGAACGCUGGCGGCAUGCCUUACACAUGCAAGUCGAACGGCAGCACGGGAGCUUGCUCCUGGUGGCGAGUGGCGAACGGGUGAGUAAUGCAUCGGAACGUAUCCUGGAGUGGGGGAUAACGUAGCGAAAGUUACGCGAAUACCGCAUAUUCUGUGAGCAGGAAAGCGGGGGACCUUCGGGCCUCGCGCUCUUGGAGCGGCCGAUGUCGGAUUAGCUAGUUGGUGAGGUAAAGGCUCACCAAGGCGACGAUCCGUAGCAGGUCUGAGAGGAUGAUCUGCCACACUGGAACUGAGACACGGUCCAGACUCCUACGGGAGGCAGCAGUGGGGAAUUUUGGACAAUGGGGGCAACCCUGAUCCAGCCAUGCCGCGUGAGUGAA
rnacentral:rRNA from 1 species